rnacentral:rRNA from 1 species
UACAGAGGUCUCAAGCGUUGUUCGGAUUCAUUGGGCGUAAAGGGUGCGUAGGCGGCGCGGUAAGUCGGGUGUGAAAUCCCGGGGCUUAACCCCGGGCGUGCAGUGGAUACGGGCUGGCUGGAGGCAGGCAGGGGAGAACGGAAUUCCCGGUGUAGCGGUGAAAUGCGCAGAUAUCGGGAGGAACACCGGUGGCGAAGGCGGUUCUCUGGGCCUGUACUGACGCUGAGGAGCGAAAGCGUGGGGAGCGAACAGG